rnacentral:misc_RNA from 1 species
GGCAAGCCUUGAGGGUAUUGUUUUGAGAUGUGAAGAUACAUCAAAUGAUGAUGUCAUCCCUGUGUAGUUAACAGCAUGUGGAUGGAAAAACUUCUCGUCGUAUCGCAUGUCCAAUAUAUUUUUCACGGAUUAAUGUUGAGAGGUAAUGUUGGCAGCGGAUAUUGUAGUGUCGCAUACUGAUGAUUCAAAAUGAGCAUUUUUUUUUUUCCAGUUUGAAUUUGUUGUAUAGUUCUGUGAGAUUUCUUUUCCAAUUCUUUAAGAGUUACAGAAUUCCACCAUGGUAUGGCUUCUUAAAUGGGGAAUUUUGUGAUUGAGCAGCAGCGGUUGUGAAGGUGAAAAUCAGUUGUUGUGUCAUUGUGUAGCUCUUUGAUUGUUGUCCCCAUUAUUAUUUAAUCUUUCUUAGUUGUGUGCUUCUCUGAUAA